rnacentral:misc_RNA from 1 species
GAAAAAUUACUACAUUAGCUCCAUUGCUGGCGCCAACAAUGGAAGCUCACUUGUUGUGAUGUCUAAAGGUACCCAGUAUUCUCAGCAAUCAUACAAAGUUAGUGACUCGUUCCCCUUCAAAUGGAUUAACAAAAAGUGGAAAGAGGGAUUUUAUGUCACGUCAAUGGCAACUUCUGGUAAUCGCUGGGGUAUUGUCAUGUCACGAAAUGCCGGCUUUAGUGAUCAGGUGGUUGAGUUGGAUUUCUUGUAUCCAAGUGAGGGCAUUCACAAACGCUGGGA